AGUACAAAUAUCAAGUAGUAAGUAGUAGGUAGAGUCAGGAUUUUUUCCCCUACAUGGGCGCGGACAACUUAUGCCCCGCCUUCAAACGUCCGCCUUCUUGGUCUCUUCCCCCACUUAUUUUCGUUUGUUAAACUCUUAUCUUACUUUUUAUUAAAUUCCCCACUCUUUGAUGUAAGAUGAGUAUGUAAAGGUGUAUGUAGUUGACUACGAGGCUUCCAUUUCCCCAUUUAAUGUUGAGGCUGUCGAUGUCGAUGUCGAUGUGAAUGUCGACGGUACUUGGCACUUGUGAGGUUAAGGGGCUUACGGGGGUAAAACGCCUAAAGAAGCUGACAGAGGAAAAGAGGGGAAUAAUCGAAGAAAUAAGGGGUUGAAUAAAACGAGUAGGACAAAGGCAAGUAGAGUGAAGCAUGCCGAGAUGUGAAACAUUAGUGUACCGUUUGUUAACACCGCAGUCUACACACAACCAUGCCGUUUUACUUGCACACACAACAAACUGUCGUGCUUAAACUAAACCCAAACUCUCCUUACAAAUACAUAUACAUAUAUAUAUAUAUAUAUAUAUAUAUAUAUAUACUCUCACUCUUACUCUAACUAUAUACUCAACAUUUCUUGCUAUUGCAGUUUGGAUAGUAGGAGGUAAGAGUAUUGGUCGAUGUAGACGCUUGUACACUUACACGCUCCUGUCCUACCAGAAACCUUAAAUAUAUAUAUAUAUAUAUAUAUACAAUUUACAAUAUGAGGAGGAAGAGGAGGAGAAGAAGAUGUGGUAAACGUGUUUGUUGGAACUUGAUCGUUUUGAGACUAUUUGGAGGUUUAUAUCCAAGUACACACAAGGAUCUUGAGAUUGACAGUACUUAAAGUUUUACUACCAAAACAACAAAAUAUAAUAGGGAAAGAAAAAUUAAAAGACGAAUAGAGGGAUAGAGGGAUAGAAUUUUAUCGAUAAAAACUUGUCGUUGUACAAACUAAACUGUUUUUUUGAACCAUAUAUACACUGUAUAUGUGUAGAAGAGUAUACAGCACUAGCGAAUGAACGAUUGUAAGAAGAAAAAGAAGAAGAAGAAGAAGAAGAAG